rnacentral:rRNA from 2 species
UUGAUUACGUCCCUGCCCUUUGUACACACCGCCCGUCGCUGCCCGGGACUGAGCCAUUUCGAGAAAUUCGGGGACGGUUAGUGUUCCGGCUUCGGUCGGUAUGCAGACUGGAACCGAUUUAAUCGCAGUGGCUUGAACCGGGCAAAAGUCGUAACAAGGUAGCUGUAGGUGAACCUGCUGCUGGAUCAUUACCCAA